rnacentral:rRNA from 2 species
AACCAACAGGGAUUGCCCUAGUAACGGCGAGUGAAGCGGCAACAGCUCAAAUUUGAAAUCUGGCGCAAGCCCGAGUUGUAAUUUGUAGAGGAUGCUUCUGGGCAGCGGCCGGUCUAAGUUCCUUGGAACAGGACGUCAUAGAGGGUGAGAAUCCCGUAUGUGACCGGCUGGCACCCUCCACGUAGCUCCUUCGACGAGUCGAGUUGUUUGGGAAUGCAGCUCUAAAUGGGAGGUAAAUUUCUUCUAAAGCUAAAUACCGGCCAGAGACCGAUAGCGCACAAGUAGAGUGAUCGAAAGAUGAAAAGCACUUUGGAAAGAGAGUUAAAAAGCACGUGAAAUUGUUGAAAGGGAAGCGCUUGCAACCAGACUUUGUUGGCGGUGUUCCGCCGGUCUUCUGACCGGUCUACUCGCCGUCCACAGGCCAGCAUCAUCUGGGGCCGCCGGAUAAAGGCUUAGGGAAUGUAGCUCUCUUCGGGGAGUGUUAUAGCCCUUCGCACAAUACGGCGCGCCCCGGGUGAGGUCCGCGUUUAGGCAAGGAUGCUGGCGUAAUGGUUGUAAGCGGCCCGUCUUGAAACACGGACCAAGGAGUCGAUUAUCUAUGCGAGUGUUCGGGCGUCAAACCCCUACGCGUAAUGAAAGUGAACGGAGGUGGGAACCUUUACCGGUGCACCAUCGACCGAUCCGGAUGUCUUCGGAUGGAUUUGAGUAAGAGCAUAGCUGUUGGGACCCGAAAGAUGGUGAACUAUGCCUGAAUAGGGUGAAGCCAGAGGAAACUCUGGUGGAGGCUCGCAGCGGUUCUGACGUGCAAAUCGAUCGUCAAAUUUGGG